rnacentral:rRNA from 1 species
GAUCAUGGCUCAGGAUGAACGCUAGCUACAGGCUUAACACAUGCAAGUCGAGGGGAAACGACAUCGAAAGCUUGCUUUUGAUGGGCGUCGACCGGCGCACGGGUGAGUAACACGUAUCCAACCUGCCCACCACUUGGGGAUAACCUUGCGAAAGUAAGACUAAUACCCAAUGAUAUCUCUAGAAGACAUCUGAAUGGGAUUAAAGAUUUAUCGGUGAUGGAUGGGGAUGCGU